rnacentral:rRNA from 1 species
AGUGAACGCUGGCGGUAGGCCUAACACAUGCAAGUCGAACGGCAGCACAGUAAGAGCUUGCUCUUACGGGUGGCGAGUGGCGGACGGGUGAGGAAUACAUCGGAAUCUACUUUUUCGUGGGGGAUAACGUAGGGAAACUUACACUAAUACCGCAUACGACCUACGGGUGAAAGCAGGGGAUCUUCGGACCUUGCGCGAUUGAAUGAGCCGAUGUCGGAUUAGCUAGUUGGCGGGGUAAAGGCCCACCAAGGCGACGAUCCGUAGCUGGUCUGAGAGGAUGAUCAGCCACACUGGAACUGAGACACGGUCCAGACUCCUACGGGAGGCAGCAGUGGGGAAUAUUGGACAAUGGGCGCAAGCCUGAUCCAGCCAUACCGCGUGGGUGAAGAAGGCCUUCGGGUUGUAAAGCCCUUUUGUUGGGAAAGAAAAGCAGCAGGUUAAUACCCCGCUGUUCUGACGGUACCCAAAGAAUAAGCAUCGGCUAACUUCGUG